UACAGAGACUGCAAGCGUUACUCGGAUUCACUGGGCGUAAAGGGAGCGCAGGCGGACCGAUGUGUCGGAUGUGAAACCCCAGGGCUCAACCCUGGGACUGCGUCCGAAACUGUCGGUCUAGGGACUCGGAGGGGCUAGUGGAAUUCCUGGUGGAGCAGUGAAAUGCGAAGAUAUCAGGAGGAACACCAACGGCGAAGGCAGCUAGCUGGACGAGAUCCGACGCUCAGGCUCGAAAGUAUGGGGAGCAAACAGG
rnacentral:rRNA from 1 species